UACAGAGGUCUCAAGCGUUGUUCGGAUUCAUUGGGCGUAAAGGGUGCGUAGGUGGCAGGGUAAGUCGGAUGUGAAAUCCCGGGGCUCAACCUCGGAACUGCAUUCGAUACUGCGGUGCUUGAGGACUGGAGAGGAGACUGGAAUUCAUGGUGUAGCAGUGAAAUGCGUAGAGAUCAUGAGGAAGACCAGUGGCGAAGGCGGGUCUCUGGACAGUUCCUGACACUGAGACACGAAGGCCAGGGGAGCAAACGGG
rnacentral:rRNA from 1 species